GACGAACGCUGGCGGCGUGCUUAACACAUGCAAGUCGAACGGAAAGGCCCUGCUUUUGUGGGGUGCUCGAGUGGCGAACGGGUGAGUAACACGUGAGUAACCUGCCCUUGACUUUGGGAUAACUUCAGGAAACUGGGGCUCAUACCGCAUAGGAGCUCCUGCUGCAUGGUGGGGGUUGGAAAGUUUCGGCGGUUGGGGAUGGACUCGCGGCUUAUCCGCUUGUUGGUGGAGUAGUGGCUUACCAAGGCUUUGACGGGUAGCCGGCCUGAGAGGGUGACCGGCCACAUUGGGACUGAGAGACGGCCCAGACGCCUACGGGAGGCAGCAGUGGGGAAUAUUGCACAGUGGGCGGAAGCCUGAUGCAGCAACGCCGCGUGCGGGAUGACGGCCUUCGGGUUGUAAACCGCUUUCGCCUGUGACGAAGCGUGAGUGACGGUAAUGGGUAAAGAAGCACCGGCUAACUACGUG
rnacentral:rRNA from 1 species